rnacentral:rRNA from 1 species
GAGUUUGAUCCUGGCUCAGAUUGAACGCUGGCGGCAGGCCUAACACAUGCAAGUCGGGCGGUAGAGAGAAGCUUGCUUCUCUUGAGAGCGGCGGACGGGUGAGUAAUGCCUAGGAAUCUGCCUGGUAGUGGGGGAUAACGCUCGGAAACGGACGCUAAUACCGCAUACGUCCUACGGGAGAAAGCAGGGGACCUUCGGGCCUUGCGCUAUCAGAUGAGCCUAGGUCGGAUUAGCUAGUUGGUGAGGUAAUGGCUCACCAAGGCGACGAUCCGUAACUGGUCUGAGAGGAUGAUCAGUCACACUGGAACUGAGACACGGUCCAGACUCCUACGGGAGGCAGCAGUGGGGAAUAUUGGACAAUGGGCGAAAGCCUGAUCCAGCCAUGCCGCGUGUGUGAAGAAGAUCUUCGGAUUGUAAAGCACUUUAAGUUGGGAGGAAGGGCAGUAAAUUAAUACUUUGCUGUUUUGACGUUACGACAGAAUAAGCACCGGCUAACUCUGUGCCAG